rnacentral:tRNA from 1 species
GAAAAUUUAGUUAAACGAUAAUAUUAGCUUGUCAAGCUAAAGUUACUUUUUUAAGUAAUUUUCU